rnacentral:lncRNA from 1 species
UGAGAAAGAGGAGGAGAAGGGGGAGAAGAAGAAAAAGAAAUAAUUUUGGAAUCUUUUGGAGUUUGAUGUAUUAAGAGGCACUUCCUUAUUAUGUGAAACAUUCAUGUAGAAAUUGGGAAGAAUUAAUGAAGUAUAUUAUAGAUGAAAUUGGACCACUGCAUAAAACACAGUAGAGGACAACUGUAGUUCACCCCAAGUCUGAUAUUGUAAGAGUUUCCCCAAGUAAAAUACUAAAGAAUCUCAGAAGCUUUAUAGUUUUUUUGUUUGUAUACUUUUUGGUUUUGGUAGCACUAGGGCUUGAACUCAGGUCCUCAUGCUUAUUAGGCAAGUAUUCUACCACUGAGCUAUAUCUCCAGGCCUAAUAGUUUUAACUAAGCUUGAAAAGAUUUGUAAGAUUAUACAACUUCACAGAGAAUAUCUCAAUUUCCUUUUACAUCUCUUUUUUUAACAGCAGGUAUCAAAUAUAAUUUAUACAUUUGUCUACUGUGAUUAUUUUAGCUUACAUUUUUUUUUUAAAAAAUGUAAUAUUUAGCUUUAAAGUUUCUUUAAGUAUGUCUUACAACUUAUAUAUUUGAGGUAGGGAGGUAUAUAAUCAUGAGUACAGUUUAUAUUUAUUUGUUCAAAACUCUGAUCUCAUGAAAAUUGUUAUAUAAAUACUUGUUUUAACAACUGUUAUUAUUAGGGAUUUGUGUGAAAGUCUGCCAACAUGGUCCCAAUAUUUUUACUAUAGAUCAAAAUGUUUUGAAAAGAACUGCUUCUCAACUGUGAUCUUUGUUGUUUUGGAAAUCUAAAAGAUACUGAGUUAUUUUCAGUUAUUACAGUUGACAUAGUUU